UCAAGUGCGGCAUAGCCCCUUGGCCGAGACCCGGUUUCUUGCGUUGCGUACCUACAGGAUGGAUGGCAUUCGUUUUUGUCCCAACGACCCUCGUUCGUCUAGUGCUCCCCGGUUCGGCGGGGCACCAGGCGAAACUUGUAGCUAGCUUGGUCCGUCGCCCACGUCGCGUCCGGCUGUCGUGGUGAGCGGGGCACU
rnacentral:misc_RNA from 1 species